UGCCAGCAGCCGCGGUAAUACGGAGGGUGCGAGCGUUAAUCGGAGUUACUGGGCGUAAAGCGCGCGUAGGCGGUUUGUUAAGUCAGCUGUGAAAGCCCCGGGCUCAACCUGGGAACUGCAGUUGAUACUGGCCGACUAGAGUACGAGAGAGGGAGGUAGAAUUCCAUGUGUAGCGGUGAAAUGCGUAGAUAUGUGGAGGAAUACCAGUGGCGAAGGCGGCCACCUGGACUGAUACUGACGCUGAGGUGCGAAAGCGUGGGGAGCAAACAGGAUUAGAUA
rnacentral:rRNA from 1 species